UUUGGGUGUAGUGCUUUCACUGUGUGCAACUUAAAUUCGCCAUUUGCCCGCGAUAUUGAACCUACAAUAAUCAUGUUGUCGUGCUGGAUGACAGUCGGGCUGCGGAGCAGUGCAGGUACAGAGGAGAAGUAGUGCGUGAGAAAAGGAUGAUACCAUUUGCUAAGCGGGGGUGUUUUCAUUUUUAUCCUUCACAUAUACAUUUUAAACCACCAACUACAGAGUAUGCUUUGGACAUAAUUUAACCUUGUCAAAGACAAACACAAAUUUUAGAAAUACAUCAUUUCUUACUCCAAGUUUUAGGGGUGCUGAGCCCCUUUUUAGGGGUGCUGGAGCAUGAACGAAUCACAGCGCGAACAUGAAUCACGUCCUCACAGCUCUCUGUGUGCAGGCGAGUGAGUCCCCACCUGCAUGCUGCAUGUGGCAGUACCACUCCUGGCCGGCAUGCUCGUGGCUGAGCUCAACUGAACUGAGAAAGGAACGAAUCAGUUCAUGAAGUGAUUCCGUUCACUUCGUUCACUCAAAAGAUGCGUUCGUUCGAACGACACGUUCGCGACUGACACAACACUACAGGCUUCAUUGUCCAAUGUUCCAGGUUGUGAAGACGGAUUUUUUUGCGGCGCAUAAGGAAAACACAGUCAUGAAGCUGUGUGGAGUUCAGCUCGGAGUCAAGAACAAGAACAAAGUGGCUGCUGGAAGCGAGAUAGAGUGCUAGAUGAGGAUGAGGUGGACCUUCGGAAGUGCGCCGCCAUAGACCUGAUGUCUGAUGAGGAAGAUGGCGGGGUGUCUGGAUGGAUUGUGCGACCUCCGUCCUUUCACAGCCGGGAUCUCACCGAGCUCUGUGCCACGCUGCAGUCAAGAGUAGAGGGGAUUCUGAAGUGCAGGACAGCGCACCACAGACGUCUGCAAAAUGGACCUAUCAGACAGAAGGCCUCCAGCUACCUGCAGCUCUAAGGCCACAAACAGACACUUUCCGGUGCUGUAGGAUUUUGGGCCUCUUGUGAGCUUCCCGUUUGUUGUGUGGGCAGAUUAUGCUUUGUAUAUAGUUGUGGUGUGUUUGCGCUAUGUUAAUAAAGAUCUUUCUUUGAAUAAACACCUU